AGCGAACGCUGGCGGCAGGCCUAACACAUGCAAGUCGAACGAACCCUUCGAGGUUAGUGGCGGACGGGUGAGUAACACGUGGGAACGUGCCUUUAGGUUCGGAAUAACUCAGGGAAACUUGUGCUAAUACCGAAUGUGCCCUUCGGGGGAAAGAUUUAUCGCCUUUAGAGCGGCCCGCGUCUGGUUAGCUAGUUGGUGAGGUAAUGGCUCACCAAGGCUACGAUCAGUAGCUGGUCUGAGAGGAUGACCAGCCACAUUGGGACUGAGACACGGCCCAAACUCCUACGGGAGGCAGCAGUGGGGAAUCUUGCGCAAUGGGCGAAAGCCUGACGCAGCCAUGCCGCGUGGAUGAUGAAGGUCUUAGGAUUGUAAAAUCCUUUCACCGGUGAAGAAAAUGACUGUAGCCGGAGAAGAAGCCCCGGCUAACUUCGUGCCAGCAGCCGCCGUAAGAC
rnacentral:rRNA from 1 species